rnacentral:rRNA from 1 species
AGCAGCCGCGGUAAUUCCAGCUCCAAUAGCGUAUAUUAAAGUUGUUGCAGUUAAAAAGCUCGUAGUUGAAUUUUGGGUUUGGCCAAUUGGUCCGUUCUUGUAACGAGUACUGGUUGGUUGGGCCUCACCGCCUGGUGAUACGUAAUGUCCUUUAUUGGGUGUUGCGAGUAGCCAGGACCUUUACCUUGAAAAAAUUAGAGUGUUUAAAGCAGGCUUAUGCCGGAAUACAUUAGCAUGGAAUAAUAGAAUAGGACAAUGAUUCUAUUUUGUUGGUUUCUAGGAGCAUCGUAAUGAUUAAUAGGGAUAGUUGGGGGCAUUAGUAUUCAAUUGUCAGAGGUGAAAUUCUUGGAUUUAUUGAAGACUAACUACUGCGAAAGCAUUUGCCAAGGAUGUUUUCAUUAAUCAAGAACGAAAGUUAGGGGAUCGAAGACGAUCAGAUACCGUCGUAGUCUUAACCAUAAACUAUGCCGACUAGGGAUCGGAUGAUGUUAAUUUUUUAAUGUACGCAA